GAUGAACGCUGGCGGCGUGCCUAAUACAUGCAAGUCGAGCGAACGGACGAGAAGCUUGCUUCUCUGAUGUUAGCGGCGGACGGGUGAGUAACACGUGGAUAACCUACCUAUAAGACUGGGAUAACUUCGGGAAACCGGAGCUAAUACCGGAUAAUAUUUUGAACCGCAUGGUUCAAAAGUGAAAGACGGUCUUGCUGUCACUUAUAGAUGGAUCCGCGCUGCAUUAGCUAGUUGGUAAGGUAACGGCUUACCAAGGCAACGAUGCAUAGCCGACCUGAGAGGGUGAUCGGCCACACUGGAACUGAGACACGGUCCAGACUCCUACGGGAGGCAGCAGUAGGGAAUCUUCCGCAAUGGGCGAAAGCCUGACAGAGCAACGCCGCGUGAGUGAUGAAGGUCUUCGGAUCGUAAACCUCUGUUAUUAGGGAAGAACAUAUGUGUAAGUAACUGUGCACAUCUUGACGGUACCUAAUCAGAAAGCCACGGCUAACUACGUG
rnacentral:rRNA from 1 species